GGAUGAGCCCGCGGCCUAUCAGCUAGUUGGUGGGGUGAUGGCCUACCAAGGCGACGACGGGUAGCCGGCCUGAGAGGGUGACCGGCCACACUGGGACUGAGACACGGCCCAGACUCCUACGGGAGGCAGCAGUGGGGAAUAUUGCACAAUGGGCGGAAGCCUGAUGCAGCGACGCCGCGUGGGGGAUGACGGCCUUCGGGUUGUAAACCCCUUUCGCCCGGGACGAAGCGAGAGUGACGGUACCGGGAGAAGAAGCACCGGCCAACUACGUGCCAGCAGCGCGGGA
rnacentral:rRNA from 1 species